UACGUAGGGGGCGAGCGUUGUCCGAAGUUACUGGGCGUAAAGCGCACGUAGGCGGUUAUCUAAGUCUGGGGUGAAAGGUUCAGUGCUUAACGCGAACAGUGCCUUGGAGACUGGAUGACUUGAGUUUGGGAGAGGGUAGUGGAAUGGCUGGUGUAGCGGUGAAAUGCGUAGAUAUCAGUCGGAACACCAAUGGCGAAGGCAGCUACCUGGCCUAAAACUGACGCUGAGGUGCGAAAGCGUGGGGAGCGAACAGG
rnacentral:rRNA from 1 species